UCACCACACUCGGACGAUCACCCCAUCACCACUUGGACGACCACCACCACCACCACCGGCGGCUCGGCUUGCUCUCGGGGGACUCACGGCGAGGAGAGAGGAAGAGAACCAACGGAAAGAGAAAGGAGAGGGAGAGGGAGAGAGAGGAGGCGUGAGAGAAGAAGAGAGAAGAGGAAAAGGGAAGCUUGACGGCUAGGGUUUUCUAGUCUCUCUAAAUCUCUGCAGAGCUUCGCUCCAGUUUCAGAAUGAGAGAAAAAUGAGAGGAGGCAGCUUUAUUUAUAGGAAAAGGAGGGAACCCUAGGUCAUUUACCCUAAUGGGCUGCAGUCUUAACGGGCUCUCCUUAAGAAAAUUUUUGGGCUGGGAACCGGGCCGUUACAAUUCUCCCCUGUUAAUCGGAAUUCGUCCCCGAAUUCCAAGCCCUAGACUUCCAAACUUAACAUCCGAUAACAAAAGGAACUCACACAAUCACACAUCAUACAAGGGAGGCACACAAGGCGAGAACAACUUUGCUCGGGGAUCUUUUAAAAACCCAUGAAUGAAUUAAGCUCAAAAAGAAAUUUUGCAAAUACAAUGGAUCCGAUCAAAAUCAUAAUAACGUAUAGAUAUAAUGGGUGGUUUUGAAAUCAUUUUCAGGAGUGUUAGAAGAAACAAAACUUUUACAAACUCUUUUCUUUUAAUGAAAACAAGUUUUUUUUUUUCGAAAACGUCGGAAAUGCUGAUCCCUUAGGACAGAACUAAGGGAUCUUAACCCGCUCUGAUACCAAUUGUAACAGCCCGAUCCCCCGGCGUCCGACCGGAGUUAUCGAAGGGGCGUUAUGGACACGUGUCUACUCAUUUAGACAACCCUACGUGUCCCGUUACUGGUCCCGAGAGACGAGCGCAUAACCUUCUUUGAAAUACCGUCACACUCACAUCCAUAUACUUCUACUUACAGUCCUGCACACAGGGAAAAAUGGAAAUGGAGGGGGUGAGCAACAAGUUACUCAGUGAAGUGGCUCUAGACCAGCCUGCCCGCAUGACACUCUAUACUACUCUAUGCGGGAACUAGGACUGACUAGCCACUACAAUCAGUUAAUGCAUUUUAUCAUUUCCUAUCACCAUCUGUAAUUUCUACACACACUUCCAUUCAUUUCUAACAACCUAGUAAUCAAUCAAUACAAUGAUCUCACUCAUUGCCACACACGCCAUCCCUAGACUUAACCGACUCAUCUUACCAGUCCGACUCAAUCCUAUCACUUCUUUAACUUCCUGUACCCGACCAUGAGCUAAAACCCUACAAUGCAUAUCCUUUUCGUCUUUUCCUCUUUUCAUCUUUUCCUCUUUUCCUCUUUUCCUCUUUUCCUCAGUGGGUAGCCCCCCACUAGGCUUCUACCCCAUACUCAUGUGGAUUCGCCACAUCUCCUAUGGGUGCCUCCAUAUUCAUGUGGAUUCGCCACAUCUCCUAUGGAUACCUAGCGUGGACUACUUACCCCACCUACUUUCCUUAGACUCUCUAUAUGCUUUCCCACCCAUGCUUAACCUUAACAACGUUCUUUCAUACUUUUACUUAUCCUUUCACUUCCUUAUCGCUAUCGCUUAACCCUUUCCAUUCCCAAUUACUUCCCCUUUUCAUUUCCACUUGUACUAGGACUCAAUCACUAGACGCCACCCGUUAUCGGUGUCACACACAAUACACAUCGCAUUCAAGUUCUACUUCAAUAACUUUUAUAAUCAUUGUUCAUCUAUCACCCUAGCAUUUAUUUCUCUCUAGCAUCCUAACUUCAAUCGCAACCACACAUGGGACAUCACAUCCAAACAUACAAGCAUCACUCAUCAACCAAUCAACAUCACCACAACAUAGAUCAGUUCAUCAAGUCCCGUUAACAGUAUGAGGGUUCUUAUGCAUCAUGAUUCAUUCAUCUAUCAUCCUAGCAAUUAUCAUGUUCUAUCAACCUAACUCUCAAACAGGGUCUAAACAACCUAACUCCAACAUAGAGGAGUAUACAGAAUCAUGAGAGAAGGUUGGGUUCGGGACACUCCACCUUAGCCUAGAUCUGGAUCUGGAUCUGGAUCUGGAGACAAAGGGGAUGAGAUCUGAACAGAUCUGGAACAAGUAAACAAGAGAGACGAGAUCUGGUCACCACCACAACACCACACAUCCACCACCAUCACCACACUCGGACGAUCACCCCAUCACCACUUGGACGACCACCACCACCACCACCGGCGGCUCGGCUUGCUCUCGGGGGACUCACGGCGAGGAGAGAGGAAGAGAACCAACGGAAAGAGAAAGGAGAGGGAGAGGGAGAGAGAGGAGGCGUGAGAGAAGAAGAGAGAAGAGGAAAAGGGAAGCUUGACGGCUAGGGUUUUCUAGUCUCUCUAAAUCUCUGCAGAGCUUCGCUCCAGUUUCAGAAUGAGAGAAAAAUGAGAGGAGGCAGCUUUAUUUAUAGGAAAAGGAGGGAACCCUAGGUCAUUUACCCUAAUGGGCUGCAGUCUUAACGGGCUCUCCUUAAGAAAAUUUUUGGGCUGGGAACCGGGCCGUUACACCUUACCUCUAAUAACCACUCCUAAUGUCUAGCGAGCUAGACUUUUUCACUCUUCCUUGUUGGCUUAACUAAACUGACUAGAUUUUACUUUUUUUUUUUUUUGAAUUUAUUCUUUGUGACCAAAGUUACAACUCAACUCCUCUUUAGCUUCUUUGUUGGCUCUUAUUUCUUCUUCAUCUUGACUUGCAUUUCAAGCUUUCUUCUUCUUCUUCUUCUACUACUUUUGCUUCUUUUUCUCUUGAACACUACCAUUUUUUCUUUGUAG
rnacentral:lncRNA from 1 species